GACUAGUUACUAAAGCAAAUAUUAAAAGCGCCACAUAAUUUGAGACAUCAAAAGUAAUGUUGAUUGUGAGUGGAACAAUCUCUCUUCCAGGCUAAACACCCACGGCAAUGGUGCAUCAAAAGCUGGCCAGCAGCGGUGGAAGCAUUUAUGAAUACUUUUUUUUCGUUCUAUUUUUUAUUGGUUUUGGUUUGCUGCAGAUACUAAUCAGGUUUAAUUUUUUAAUCUGUAGUAUUAGGCGGACUUGAAGUUCAAGACCAAGAAUAAAGCUUCCUCAAGAAGGCGAGAAGCUUCUGGCACUGGUGGUGGGCCUGCUACCCUUGCCGAUUUGACUGAAUCGGAAAAAAAUAAUUAAUCAAUAAUCGGCUAGAGUGCUGUGUCUGGUGAUGUACAGCAUAGGGUGCCUAUUUUGGUAAGCUUUUAAAUAAUAUUUAUUUGUGUACUUGCACUAUCAAAAAUUACCCUGCAUUUCUCUUUUCUAUCACUCAUAAAAGCAUGUUCAUGGUUUCAUGGCUUUUUGGCAUGAAUUUACUAUUUAUGUGUAUGAUAAGUAACUAAGCAAAUCAAUCAUGAUGAGAACCAAGUGUUUUAUUACAAUAAAAAUAUUAGCUAUUUGUGUAUGCCAAUGCAGUGUUUGCAAACCUUCAUAACAUUCACAGGUUUCUUCAACACAGCACAGUAAACACAGUCUUCAAUCUUCAACGCUCAGAGCACAAGUACUCAGAGUACAAGUGUUUUGAAUGUGAAGGAGAUUGAAGGUUUUUUAAUCGAUUACCACGAUGAAGUGAUAGUGAAUGCAACAUAAUCACCACCACCAUCAGCACCAGCAAGCUUCCAGCCGAUAUCUCCAUCUACCAGAGAGCAUACCAUAGGAGAUACCAUCGAGGCCACUGCAGCAGCUCCUGGCAGCCCACGACAACCUCCUGCAUCUUCUGGGCGAAUCUUCGGUAGCCCAGUAACUCGAAGACAGCUUCGACAGCCCAGAUGCAUCAGUAGCUCUACUCUCACAAGAGAGCUUAGAACUGGCCAAAGAGCUGAGCCGUCAUGGAUUGAAUUGGAGAGACGAAGGGUGGACGCAAAGAGCCGACUGGCUGAUGCUGCCAUGAUAACAGCAGAGGCGGCACGAAUGCAGGCGGAGGCCUUACGUGACCAUGCGGCUGCCAUAAAUAAAUUAGGUACGUACAAGGCUUCUUCUGCUGGACACAAGCGGCACAGGAUUGUGAAUCCUUGCAAGAAACCCACGUCCAGCUAUCAUCAAUUGCUUGAGAUGCCAACGACAAUAACGGACAAUGCAUAUUAUAAUCAAAUACAAAGGAAAGUUUAUAAACUAAACCAUAAACUCAAAAAGUUAAGUGAAAACCCAAACUAAGAAAAUUAAAUGUGCAAGGAAUUUAUCUCAUUCAACACAGUUCAUUAAAUUAAUUGAAACUUUCCCGGAGCCGGAUAUAGCUAUUAAUAUUAUUGUACACAGUUGGUGUAAGUGCAUCAAUCAGAUGUUAAAAGGCAAAAUAAUUAAAUUUGACGAAAAUGAUUCUGUCAAAGCACAGACUAGGGCAUAUUAUACUAGAAGAUGCAAAAAAUAAAAUUAUGAAAAAACUUACUAAUUUUUCUUUUAAUCAAUAAUUUCUAUCCUGUUCCCAGGACAGCAGUUGGCGCCAGUUUCCCUCAGAUUUGAACCAGACUAUAGUUGAAGACAUAUGAAGACCCAGUAGCCAUCAAAGUGGAAAUGGAGAUGUGUUUAGCUGACAGUUGACACCAGCAUAUUAUUGAUUGAUGUGUUAAUUUUAUAAUAAUAUUUUCUUUUCAUAAUGGAUUGAUUGAUUGAUACUGGUCCGAAGUCUGGUUCAAAUUUAGGGAACUGGCGCCAAACCGCGAUUCAGAAAAAAUAAAAAUUAUACAGCGCCAUCUACUGCAUUAUUAUUGUUAUUGUACUACUAGCGACAUCUUUGAGGCAGCAGAGUAAGCUUUAUUCCCUUUUCCUAUUUAUAUGGUAGGAGUGGCUUAUCUAUACUCGUUAUUAGUAUAUUAUCUAUGUGGUGGUGAGUGAG